GUGGGGAGCGAACAGGAUUAGAUACCCUGGUAGUCCACGCCGUAAACGGUGGGCGCUAGUUGUGGGAACCUUCCACGGUUUCUGCGACGCAGCUAACGCAUUAAGCGCCCCGCCUGGGGAGUACGAUCGCAAGAUUAAAACUCAAAGGAAUUGACGGGGCCCCGCACAAGCAGCGGAGCAUGCGGCUUAAUUCGACGCAACGCGAAGAACCUUACCAAGGCUUGACAUAUACAGGAAUAUGGCAGAGAUGUCAUAGCGGUAAAACGUCUGUAUACAGGUGGUGCAUGGUUGUCGUCAGCUCGUGUCGUGAGAUGUUGGGUUAAGUCCCGCAACGAGCGCAACCCUCGUUCUGUGUUGCCAGCAUUUAGUUGGGGACUCACAGGAGACUGCCGGGGUUAACUCGGAGGAAGGUGGGGAUGACGUCAAAUCAUCAUGCCCCUUAUGUCUUGGGCUGCACGCAUGCUACAAUGGCUGGUACAAAGGGCUGCAAUACUGCAAAGUGGAGCGAAUCCCAAAAAGCCAGUCUCAGUUCGGAUUGGGGUCUGCAACUCGACCCCAUGAAGUCGGAGUUGCUAGUAAUCGUAGAUCAGCAACGCUACGGUGAAUACGUUCCCGGGGCUUGUACACACCGCCCGUCACAUCACGAAAGUCGGUAACACCCAAAGUCAGUGGCCCAACCGCAAGGAGGGAGCUGCCAAAGGUGGGAUCGGUGAUUGGGAUG
rnacentral:rRNA from 1 species